GCCACCGUAGCGUAGAGGUUAGCUUGUCCGUCUAUGAAGCUAAACGCCUGGGUUCAAAUCCUGGCGGUGGUU
rnacentral:tRNA from 1 species